AAUCCAUUCUCUACAUCUGUGUCUCUGUUCCGCCCCGCAGAUAGAUUCAACGGUACCAUUUUCCUAGAUUUCAUAUUUAUGCAGUAUUCCGACAGGUGUGGGGCCUUGGUUUUGAUUUGCAUUUUCGUGAUGAUUAGUGAUGCUGAGCCAGCCGGAGAUCCUUUUAAGCACUCUGGUGCUAGCAAGCACUCGAUCAAUUUCAGCUAUUCUUUUUAUUAAUAUGUGGUCCUUCAGCAAAUAUAGCUGGGAAAGAUGGCUCACUGAGCCAUUAACUCCUUGGUAUGAAUUAGUUUCUCAGCAGGAAUAGUUGAGAAAGGACCUCAGGAUGGGAGCAAGGAUGGAGUUACAGAGAGGGAGAGCUUAAAAAAAAAAGAAUGCUAGGGAAUCUAAAGCAAAUCUCUUUGUGGUUUUGCUGAGGCCCACCCCGGCACAGCAUGAAGAUAGCUCUGCAAGCAGCCGUUGGCGUAUCUCCCUCUGAGCCCAGCCAGGCGGUGGAGGAAAUGAAGAGGCGCUCCAGGGAGGGGCACGGCCAAGAGGCCAGGGCGGAGCGGGGAGAGCCGGUGGUGAGCGCAGCUGCCCUGCGACAUGGACGGCCCUUCGCGCUGCUGCUGCUGGCCCAGGACACAGCAGGGGUCGUGAUGGCAGCUCUUGGGCAGUGUCCUCUGCACCCCGGCCCCUUCGGCUCUCCACGCACCCAGGCGGGGCCACCUCCUCCAGGCUCUGCUGGGACACUGCUCUUGGUUCUGCAGACAAAGUGCCUCAACUUCCACAAUCGGCACUUCCCAGAUCAAUCAUCACCUACUUUAUCAUCCAGUUUGGUUGGUUCAGAUGACUUUAAGUUCCUAUGGAAGAAUGAAACACAGCGAGGAGAAGAGAAUUGCCGAUUCCCAGGGGCCUGUGUCUGCCAGCGGCUGCUGAGUACCUCUGAGAAACUCUGCUUUGAGCUAAUAGGAACCCCCUGUUCUGGGAAGAUCAGUAUAUGGAACAAAAACCUCUGGGUGGACCCCUGGGCAAGAUGAAUUUGACCGACCAUAUGUUCCAGGACUCCAGCGAGAACAUCACCACCUCAACGUCAGGCCCCACACUACCCAGCAGCCUAGACACAGCGGCCACAGCUGUUUCUGGCUCCAUUGGUGUCGUGGCCCUCAUCUUGCUCCUGGUGGGACUCUUGUCCGUGACUCUGAAAAAAUGGAGGCAUGAGAGACUAUUUAAGAAACAACAGAAGCAUCAGACCAACUUUCUCCACAAAUCCUUGGAGCUUUCCUGCCAUGCCGAUGCCAUAUAUUCCAACGUGAUCAACCUGGCACCCAGGAAAGAGGAUGACUUCGCUGUCUAUGCCAACGUGCCCCCUUUCAACCGCCCCAGGAGGACAUCACCAGACCACGUGGAAUAUGCCUCCAUUGUAUUUCACUGAUGAGAGGCUCGUGAGAUGCUUCAGAGUGGAGAGUCAGACCUGUGCCUAUCUGUAUCCUGAUGCGGCUUUUGCUCUAGAUAUGUGUGUAUAUGUGUGCAUGUGUGUGUGUGUGUCUUUGCACGUGCCUGUGUGUGUUCAUGCCCGCCCAUGCUCAAAAAACCAUAAUAUGUAUUCUGAUGGAGGUAAAUGACUUGGUAUUUCUUCUAAUUUAUUGGAAGCAAGGUGCAGUUCUAAUGGAAAGGGGUGACAUCUGAGUGACAAGGGACAUAGUCAUUUCAGCCACUCUGAGCCAGAGGCAGGUUCCUGAGAGAGACUGGCCGAAAGAAGAGCCGUCUCUCUCCCCUGCCCCUCAUAAGGCCAGGGCUGAGGAGCAGGGCUCACCCCACUCAGGGACCAGCUCCCGGACUUCGUCUCUGCUGUGCUGCCCUGUAAGGAGCUGACUCCCUGCAGAGGUUAACGCGUGCGUCACACUCAGGUCUGUGGCUGAUCACCACGCACAUUUUCACAGCAGCUUUCCAGGGCCAUGCAGCAAGUGUGGAGGGAGACGGCGUGGGGGAGCUGCAAGUCCAUGGGGUCUCAAAGAGUUGGACAUGACUGAAGCAACUUAGCACGCAAAUGCAAUGGAGAAAAGAAAAUUUCAUUUAAAAACAAAGCUUAUGGAAGCCACUUUCAUCUUCGAGGAUGAUGUGAUUCACAUCGUUAAGAAAACACCUAUUCUACGGAUCCAUUCCAUCUAUAGAGACUGGAGAGGGGAGAUGAAAGUAGGAAGGAAACACAAAGAUUUCCAAGCCUCUGCCUUCUUUUCUAUUGAUAAUGGGAAAGUUCAAGAGCAGGCAACCCUUUGUCUUUAACACAGCUGUAUGAUGACCAGGUACCCUGAUUUGUUGGGGAUUUUCCUGGUGUACAACUGUGGUCCCAGCAAAAUUAUUAUUAGAUCCCCUUUCAUUCUCUAAAUUGUCAUAGUUUGGAUGAUAGAUUAUGUGGUCACCUGUUCACAAGAUUUUGAGAGUGCAAAAGCAAUUCCAAGACCAAUAAGGAAGGGAAAGCAAAGUUGUUUUGUACAAUAAAGUGGGAACGGAAUCGGGGUGGGAGUGGAGGAGGCUGCAUGUACGGUGCCUUGGGGAGGUGCGAGGGCAGUCUGGAGGCCAAACGGAGCUAAAAUCACAUAAAGAUUUCCACCACCAUAAACCUUGGUAAAGCCCAGUGAACACAACAAUUCCUGGUGCGGGUAUUUAGGGGAAGGGGGCACCAUGGAAAGGGAACCGAAGUCUACAUCUAGGUCAGCACAGAGCAGAAAUAAAGGGAAGUGGUAAGAGGUGCAAUAUGAAUGAGCUGGACCGUUCAGAGGAAGGCUGAGCUCAGAGCCGGAAGAGAACACAAGAAUGCAAACUCUCUGAAACUUCUCAGAAAUCUCAGGGAGGGGACCAGAGUUUCGGAAGAACCUACAGUUGGGAGGUUAACAACGGUAUUUAAUGGGUAGUUUGACCUCAGCAUGAAUCUGGGUUGUAAAAUUUAAACAGCUUCCUUUAUGGUGAGACUUCUCAGAGGCUUCAAUAUGUAAUCUACUUCAUGAAUAAAGUCCUUCAUGAAUAAAGCUCUCUUUUGUUUUCCUAGGGAGCAUUCCAUAGGGCAGGAAGUAAUCCUUGUAACAUCCUGUGGGAAGGCUUUUUUAAGGGGCCACCUGCCCAGGAGGCACUGUCACAGGGAUCUCGGGUGGUGUGGGCC
ensembl:lncRNA